AGAUCCUGAAGGCCCAUCAACACCAUCAUAGCCACCUGCUUGAGAGCCACUCAGGAGCAGCAGGACCAAGCCCCACCAGUCUCAGGGAGGGGCCCAUGGGAUACCAUGGUUCAAACUCAGCUCAUUGGGCAUGGAAGUGAGCAAUGUUACCCACUGAGCCAUCUGACUGACCCUUCAUGUAGAGUUCUUACAUUGGUGGGACUUUCUUCGAAAAGACACAAAAUGUCGCAGAGAGUGCAGAGCAGGCAGACUGAAGCUCUGUCAGCAAAUGAAAUCAAAUCAGCCUGACUUGUGAUAUUUACUGGCUUGCAGCAACCCGACCGCAGAUAUGGACCCUGGCUACCAGUGUUUGGUCUAAGGACUGCUUUGUUGUGUGGCGUUCUUGUGGCUCUGGCUAGCUGGUACCCAGGAGACAGGUCCAGCACAUCUCCAAGAGGACAUCCAGAUGACCUAC
rnacentral:lncRNA from 1 species